CAUACUACAGGAGUAGUGGGAAAUAAUGUGUAAAUCAUUGGCUGUACUCGCAACGGUAAAAAAAGCCCGGAAACCACAUAAAGUAUACCACUGUUGGAUGAAGACCGAGAAAAGUCACGUUCCACAAUUUUCAU
rnacentral:ncRNA from 10 species